UGAAGCUGGAUUCGCAGUAAUCGCGCAUCAGCCAUGGCGCGGUGAAUACGUUCCCGGGCCUUGUACACACCGCCCGUCAAGCCAUGGGAGCCGGGGGUGCUUGAAGUGCGUCGCCGCAAGGCGCGCCCUAGAGCAAAACCGGUGACUGGGGCUAAGUCGUAACAAGGUACC
rnacentral:rRNA from 1 species